AUACCACGCUUCCAGGAAAAGCCACUAAGCUUCAGUUUGAAUCGAACCGUACCGCAAACCGACACAGGUGGGCAGGAUGAGAAUUCUAAGGCGCUUGAGAGAACUCAGGAGAAGGAACUCGGCAAAUUGAUACCGUAACUUCGGGAGAAGGUAUGCCCUCUAAGGUUAAGGACUUGCUCCGUAAGCCCCGGAGGGUCGCAGAGAAUAGGUGGCUGCGACUGUUUAUUAAAAACACAGCACUCUGCUAACACGAAAGUGGACGUAUAGGGUGUGACGCCUGCCCGGUGCUGGAAGGUUAAUUGAAGAUGUGAGAGCAUCGGAUCGAAGCCCCAGUAAACGGCGGCCGUAACUAUAACGGUCCUAAGGUAGCGAAAUUCCUUGUCGGGUAAGUUCCGACCCGCACGAAUGGCGUAACGAUGGCCACACUGUCUCCUCCUGAGACUCAGCGAAGUUGAAGUGGUUGUGAAGAUGCAAUCUACCCGCUGCUAGACGGAAAGACCCCGUGAACCUUUACUGUAGCUUUGCAUUGGACUUUGAAGUCACUUGUGUAGGAUAGGUGGGAGGCUUAGAAGCAGAGACGCCAGUCUCUGCGGAGCCGUCCUUGAAAUACCACCCUGGUGUCUUUGAGGUUCUAACCCAGACCCGUCAUCCGGGUCGGGGACCGUGCAUGGUAGGCAGUUUGACUGGGGCGGUCUCCUCCCAAAGCGUAACGGAGGAGUUCGAAGGUUACCUAGGUCCGGUCGGAAAUCGGACUGAUAGUGCAAUGGCAAAAGGUAGCUUAACUGCGAGACCGACAAGUCGAGCAGGUGCGAAAGCAGGACAUAGUGAUCCGGUGGUUCUGUAUGGAAGGGCCAUCGCUCAACGGAUAAAAGGUACUCCGGGGAUAACAGGCUGAUUCCGCCCAAGAGUUCAUAUCGACGGCGGAGUUUGGCACCUCGAUGUCGGCUCAUCACAUCCUGGGGCUGUAGUCGGUCCCAAGGGUAUGGCUGUUCGCCAUUUAAAGUGGUACGUGAGCUGGGUUUAAAACGUCGUGAGACAGUUUGGUCCCUAUCUGCAGUGGGCGUUGGAAGUUUGACGGGGGCUGCUCCUAGUACGAGAGGACCGGAGUGGACGAACCUCUGGUGUACCGGUUGUAACGCCAGUUGCAUAGCCGGGUAGCUAAGUUCGGAAGAGAUAAGCGCUGAAAGCAUCUAAGCGCGAAACUCGCCUGAAGAUGAGACUUCCCUUGCGGUUUAACCGCACUAAAGAGUCGUUCGAGACCAGGACGUUGAUA
rnacentral:rRNA from 1 species